GAAUUGGACUAUAAAGAAAGCUGAGAGCUGAAGAACUGAUGUUUUUGAACUGUGGUGUUGGAGAAGACUCUUGAGAGUCCUUUGGACUGCAAGGAGAUUCAACCAGUCCAUCCUAAAGGAAAUCAGUCCUGAAUAUUCAUUGGAAGGACUGAUGCUGAAGCUGAAACUCCAAUACUUUGGCCACAUGAUGUGAAGAACUAACUCACUCGAAAAGUUUUCUUUGGCAGAUUGUAUUUUUCAAAGACCUACUUCCAUAUUGAAGUAGAUCCCAACUUACAAGGUGUUUUUUUUUUUAAUAUAAAGGUGAUGCCUGCUCAUCAAAAAGUAUAUAUUCCCUCAUUUUGAACAUAGCUGACCUUUGCAACUGUUUUGAAUAGUAGAAUGGAAUAAAAAUGAGACUGUAUUAUUAUAUAUAGAGGGUAGGUCACAGAGCUCCAUGUGAAACAUUCCUGCCCUCUUUCAAAACACAUACCUAGUAAAUUUGGAGCCACAUGAGUAUGGUUUCUGUAUUGCUGAUCCUGUUAAUGAUGCCAACUGUCUUGCUGUUCACUGAACCCAGGGUAGGAAAUGCUGGAGAUAAGAGGCUGAAAGAAGACAGGAGGAGCAGUAGGAACUGCCGACACGUUUACUCUCUCCUGGCUGACACAGCAGUCAUAGCAGCAGCCAGAACACAACCGCAACGGAGGCAUAACAUACCCUCGUAUAACAUAACUGUGAUGCUGCUGCAGUGUUGCUCCGGGGCAACAGCAGCCAGGGCUUUCAUAGUGACGCUCAUCCAGGCGAACCUCCCAAAGCAGCCGGUGAGCAACUACCCUGAUUCCAUAGUACUUGCGACAUCUGCAUUUUGGAGAGAAAUACAGGGAAACUCAGCUGUUCCAAUAUUCUCAGACCAAGUUCCAGACGCAGGACAAAUCUUUACGAUGAGCCCAGGAAUGGCCGCCAUCUUACUUCAACUCAUGAGAGACCAAAGCUACUCCUGA
rnacentral:lncRNA from 1 species